CGACGGUGCCCGUUCGCGUUUAUCGUUUAUCGAACACUAUCGUUUAGUCGUGACAACGGAUAAAAUUAUGAUAUCAUGGUAACGGACGGCACGGAAAAUAAGCCCGCGGCCGCAAAACUCUGUAUUUGCUCACAACGGGGGAAUCCGGGGUCCGGCGCUCGAAUCGGAAGUAUAACAUAAUCGGAUGAGGAGGGACACCCGAACGGAUACCGUAACUGGUAUGAGCGUCGAAAUCGACCUUACCGCAUUGCCCUCUAGCCCCCGUCCUCUACUUUACACGUACACUCCUUGCGACACUCGCAAUAAUAACCGCCGGAAGUAAUUCGCGAAAUAAAAAUUACAACCGAUAAUAAAUUUCGAAGGUUACAUAUUUAUGCGGUUUUUUUCUUAUACAAUUUUUUGCUUUUUUGAAAUAGAAAUACAUUUUUAUAUUAAAUUACUCGCUUUAUUAUCGGGGCAAACAAUAAUAUAAUAACGGUAGUUAAUUUAAGACUGGACGAUGAUAUAAUAAAACUUGAUUUCUUUUUUUUUUUUAUAUAAAUACCAUUGUUUGCGAAAAGAAACGUACCGUCCCUCCGUACCAAUAGAAUAGAAAUAAUUAGUAAGGAGAGGGUACAAAAAAAUUAGAAGCGAGUAGAGGAAAUCCACACUUCCCGUAAUUCGAGCGCUGGGAAUCGCGGUGUUUGAUAGGUUUCAAUUUUCAAAACGGAUUCUUUAUACUUCCUUAUUACCUACCUACAUGAUAUUAUGUCGGAAAUGGACAUCGGUAAUUGUUUUACCGGAAAUCCUUGGAAAAAGGUUAAUUCGGCUUUCGUAAACGGUAAC